rnacentral:rRNA from 1 species
AUCUCGAAAGCCUGUCCCAGUUCGGACUGGAGUCUGCAACCCGACUCCACGAAGUUGGAUUCGCUAGUAAUCGCGCAUCAGCCAUGGCGCGGUGAAUACGUUCCCGGGCCUUGUACACACCGCCCGUCACACCAUGGGAGUCAGCAACGCCCGAAGUCAGUGACCUAACCGAGAGGAAGGAGCUGCCGAAGGCGGGGCAGGUAACUGGGGUGAAGUCGUAACAAGGUAAC